rnacentral:rRNA from 1 species
UCGAACGAUGAAGCCCAGCUUGCUGGGUGGAUUAGUGGCGAACGGGUGAGUAACACGUGAGCAACGUGCCCAUAACUCUGGGAUAACCUCCGGAAACGGUGGCUAAUACUGGAUAUCUAACAUGAUCGCAUGGUCUGUGUUUGGAAAGAUUUUUUGGUUAUGGAUCGGCUCACGGCCUAUCAGCUUGUUGGUGAGGUAAUGGCUCACCAAGGCGACGACGGGUAGCCGGCCUGAGAGGGUGACCGGCCACACUGGGACUGAGACACGGCCCAGACUCCUACGGGAGGCAGCAGUGGGGAAUAUUGCACAAUGGGCGAAAGCCUGAUGCAGCAACGCCGCGUGAGGGAUGACGGCCUUCGGGUUGUAAACCUCUUUUAGUAGGGAAGAAGCGAAAGUGACGGUACCUGCAGAAAAAGCACCGGCUAACUACGUGCCAGCAGCCGCGGUAAUACGUAGGGUGCAAGCGUUGUCCGGAAUUAUUGGGCGUAAAGAGCUCGUAGGCGGUUUGUCGCGUCUGCUGUGAAAUCCCGAGGCUCAACCUCGGGUCUGCAGUGGGUACGGGCAGACUAGAGUGUGGUAGGGGAGAUUGGAAUUCCUGGUGUAGCGGUGGAAUGCGCAGAUAUCAGGAGGAACACCGAUGGCGAAGGCAGAUCUCUGGGCCAUUACUGACGCUGAGGAGCGAAAGCAUGGGGAGCGAACAGGAUUAGAUACCCUGGUAGUCCAUGCCGUAAACGUUGGGCGCUAGAUGUGGGGACCAUUCCACGGUUUCCGUGUCGUAGCUAACGCAUUAAGCGCCCCGCCUGGGGAGUACGGCCGCAAGGCUAAAACUCAAAGGAAUUGACGGGGGCCCGCACAAGCGGCGGAGCAUGCGGAUUAAUUCGAUGCAACGCGAAGAA